CUGCCUGCGCUCCUCUGCCACCGAGCUGAUCCAUACUGUGGCUCCGUUUUUCAAAGACAGGGAGCAGGUGCGAACUGGGUUGCUGUUUCCACUGUUGAGAUGAAAACUUCCGUGUACAGUUUCUUGAACUUCUUGGCGUGCGUGCUUUUGCACUGACACGGGACAAUCUUUCUUGUUCUCCCCAAUACCGGUGGAACCCUGAUAAAGUCAAACAGUCCCUAGCAUGAAUGAAUGAAUGAAUGAAUGAAACCAUGAAAGUCCUCUGGAGUCCCCGGAGACGCUUUUUGGAGGCCGCCGCCUUCCCCCCGCUGCCCGGGUUUCUGGAAGCCUAGGCCAGCGCGCUCCAGCCUCCGCGUGUGGGUGGUGGCUAAACGCGGUUUCCAGCAGCACCCGGGCAGAGGCCGGUUCGGGUCGGAGCGAGCAGUGAAGGGAGAGCCGGGCCCUUCCGGUUGUAUGCUGCCACUGCCUCACCUCUCCCCUGCAGAAGAUUCUGUAUGUUACAUAAUGUCCUCACUCUGGGAUUCCUCAAAUAUCCA